GUUCGGCCAUCAGUAAAGCGGCGGACGGGUGAGUAACACGUAGGUAAUCUUCCCUUGAGCGGGGGACAACGUUUCGAAAGGAACGCUAAUACCGCAUAAGUUUCCGAGGACUCUGGUUCUUGGAAGGAAAGCUAGGCCGCAAGGUCCGGCACUCGAGGAGGAGCCUGCGUCGCAUCAGCUAGUUGGUGGGGUAAUGGCCUACCAAGGCGAAGACGCGUAGCUGGUCUGAGAGGAUGAUCAGCCACACUGGGACUGAGACACGGCCCAGACUCAUACGGGAGGCAGCAGUGGGGAAUAUUGGACAAUGGGCGCAAGCCUGAUCCAGCCACGCCGCGUGAGUGAUGAAGGCCUUCGGGUCGUAAAGCUCUGUGGGGAGGGACGAACCGCCGGGCGUGCAUAGCGUCCGGCAUGACGGUACCUCCUUAGCAAGCACCGGCUAACUUCGUGCCAGCAGCCGCGGUAAUACGAAGGGUGCAAACGUUGCUCGGAAUUAUUGGGCGUAAAGCGCACGUAGGCGGCUCUGAAAGUCGGAUGUGAAAGCCCUCGGCUCAACCAAGGAAGUGCAUCCGAAACUGCAGAGCUUGAGUACUUAAGAGGAUCGCGGAAUUCCCGGUGUAGAGGUGAAAUUCGUAGAUAUCGGGAGGAACACC
rnacentral:rRNA from 1 species